rnacentral:tRNA from 1 species
GGGCGUCUUGUGUCGGGACGUAAUUUCUUACUCUUAAUCAGCGGGUCGUAGGUUCGAGCCCUACAGCGCCCACCA